rnacentral:lncRNA from 1 species
UUCUUCUUUGUUUCCCUUCUUUUUCUUCAAUGGGAUCUUCUACACAAAGGUCUGAGGACUAGGAGGUUGUCAGUCAAGGGUCUCUAGGUCAGGCUUCUACAGAGUUGGGAGAGGCUUCAUUCGAGGUCACCUUAGGUCUGAAUACUAUAAAAAGCAUCCUAGAAGAGGUUGAUCUCGAAUGGAUCUGGGCCAAGCUGACCUUGAAUAGAAUGAGUUGAUUUGAAUAUGGCUUCCCUUAGUGAUCUAGUCAUUUAUAUACUGUGCAAGAAUGAAGUUCAACUUGGACAAGCUUUUGGUAUUUCUCGCAAGAGGAAAAAGUCCAGUCAUGAGAAAGUAGCUCCUUAGAGGAAAGGAAGGUGAAAGAAACUGAGCUAAGCCUAAUGAGGUAAGUCGAAGGAACUUGGGCUAAGCAUAAUUUAUGACAUACACUUAGUUGAAGUGAAGAAGUUGAAGAAUACCAUAGGAUUUUUGCCUUAUCUUCAUCCUUUAGAGUUUAGAAGAUAGCAUUCACUGAACCACCCAUAGGUCCUACUAGGCUUGCUAAAUCAUUAGAGGCCAUUGAUUGAGCAGCAAUUGCCCUAGAGUCAGAUGAAAGUCCUCGAAUUCAAACCUCAAAUCAAGUUUCUAACUAUACUCACUUUGUAUCAGCUGCUAGAAGUUUCAUUUUCACAACAACAUGUAGAAGCCUCAUCUCCUUAGUGACUUACACCACCUCAAGAGCCCGAAUCACACCCUUUUGUUGUAAGGUGGUUGCUCAAGGACAUAAACUUCAUAAUCCACGACCCAAUGCUGGCAAGGAUGAUACAUCCUCGGGAUGUUGAAUCUCUCAAGAGCAUGAGUGUGGAUGAUGCCUUCUCUGGUGCUUACAAUGUAGUAGUUAAGAUACAUUAUUGUUUAUUACUUGCUGAUGCCACUUGCUCAUCUUUAGCUAACUUGGUCAUCUUUACUUUGCAAGCUUGUUUUCUAGUCUACACCCCAGAAGCCAUUGUCAGUGGUUGCCAUGAUAAAGUUGAGGUGUAGAAAGUGAAACCUAUCACACCAAACAGGGGCUUCAAAUUCCUAAGCAUGGGAGAGCUCUAGUCGAGCUAGGGCUCAUUGAUGCUCAGGAAGUCAAGGUUGCUAAGGAGCAAACCCAAAUUUUACAAGAGGGGAAUGAAAAACUUGAGAUAAUCAUCCUCAAGAUAAAGAAGAUGUCGAAUGAUCUACAACAUGAGGCAGCAGGAUUGAAAGAAGAGGUAGCUUGUGUUCAAGCUGUCCUUCAAACUGCUUAAGAUAAUGCUUUUGCCACCAAAAUGGAGCAACUUCAGACUCAAUGCCGAACUUCACAAGCAGAAGUGGAGAGCUUUAGGGUGCGGAGAGAGCUAAUCAAGUCGAGAAAAGGGUUACUUAGAUUGUUGCAGAUUACAAG